rnacentral:rRNA from 1 species
GACGAACGCUGGCGGCGUGCUUAACACAUGCAAGUCGAACGGAAAGGCCCUGCUUUUGUGGGGUGCUCGAGUGGCGAACGGGUGAGUAACACGUGAGUAACCUGCCCUUGACUUUGGGAUAACUUCAGGAAACUGGGGCUAAUACCGGAUAGGAGCUCCUGCUGCAUGGUGGGGGUUGGAAAGUUUCGGCGGUUGAGGAUGGACUCGCGGCUUAUCAGCUUGUUGAUGGGGUAGUGGCUUACCAAGGCUUUGACGGGUAGCCGGCCUGAGAGGGUGACCGGCCACAUUGGGACUGAGAUACGGCCCAGACUCCUACGGGAGGCAGCAGUGGGGAAUAUUGCACAAUGGGCGGAAGCCUGAUGCAGCAACGCCGCGUGCGGGAUGAAGGCCUUCGGGUUGUAAACCGCUUUCGCCUGUGACGAAGCGUGAGUGACGGUAAUGGGUAAAGAAGCACCGGCUAACUACGUG